rnacentral:misc_RNA from 1 species
AAGUCGUAACAAGGUCUCCGUUGGUGAACCAGCGGAGGGAUCAUUACAGAGUUGCAAAACUCCCCAAACCAUUGUGAACCUUACCUUCUACCGUUGCUUCGGCGGGCGGGCCACAGCGCCCCCCGGGCCCCCUCGGGGGCGCCCGCCGGAGGAUAACCAAACUCUUGAUAUUCAUGGCCUCUCUGAGUCUUCUGUACUGAAUAAGUCAAAACUUUCAACAACGGAUCUCUUGGUUCUG